UUUACCCGGUAUUAAACUUAUUUUGAAUGAGGUCUAAAAUUCUGUUGAGUAGAGAAUGGUCAAAUUCAGAACAACAAUACUAAGAAAGAAUUUCAAAGGAAAAUCUUUAGGCCCAAUGUGCUUUCAGUGAAAAGAUGUCAAGAGAAUGGUCAAAUUCAGAAAAACAAUACUAAGAAAGGAUUUCAAAAGAAAAUCUUUAGGCAAAAGAAAAUCUUUAGGCCCAAUGUGCUUUCAGUGAAAAGAUGUCAAGAGAAUGGUCAAAUUCAGAACAACACUACUAAGAAAGGAUUUCAAAAGAAAAUCUUUAGGCAAAAGAAAAUCUUUAGGCCCAACGUGCUUUCAGUGGAAAGAUGUCAAGAGAAUGGUCUAAUUCAGAACAACAAUACUAAGAAAGGAUUUCAUACUACGAAAGGAUUUCAAAAGAAAAUCUUUAGCCCAAUGUGCUUUCAGUGGAAAGAGAAUGGUCAAAUUCAAAGAAAAUCUUAGGAUUUCAAAAGAAAAUCUUUAGGCCCAAUGUGCUUUCAGUGGAAAGAUGUCAAAUAAAUUGAUCACUAUCAUCCAUGUUAUCCAAAUCAGUUGUCCACAAUAGAGUCCAUUUCAAUAUUGAUGCAUUGUGUGAGGCAAGGAACUCAAUAUUGGUUUCUUGAUAUAUUACUCACCACAUUUAAAGAUUUAAGAGGUCUUAGACCAAUGCCUUUAUUACCACUAUAGGUGAAGUUCAUAUAGGCCCUUUUAACACCUUAAAAUAAAGGCACACCAAUGAAGAUGUCAUCGCAUGUCAAGGAACUUUGAUGUUUCUUGUUAUUCUGAUCAAUUGAAAUCACCAUCCACAACUAAUUUGGGUAUGUUCUAGAUGAGAACAUCUUCAGCAAGGAAAAAGAGAAAGGGGUGCAAGGCGUUUCCUUGCUUCACACUCCUAAUGUAGUUGAACUAUUCAUUUAAUGUACCAUUGAUGGUCACCUGAAGAGAAGUUUUUCAAAGUGUGUGAUAGAAACUUCCAACUCAGUGUCAAAAGCCUUUGUUAUAUCCACUUUCAUAGCAAUGUUCCAACCAUCAGUUUACUUGUUAAGAUGGUUGACUGCCUCUAAAGCCAAACUGAUGUAGUCCUCCCAUUGAUGAAACCUCUUUGUUCCUUAGAGACCAAGUAAGGCAUUAGAGUGGCUCUCCCAUUGAUGAAACCUCUUUGUUCCUUAGAGACCAAGUAAGGCAUUAGAGUGGCUCUCCCAUUGAUGAAACCUCUUUGUUCCUUAGAGACCAAGUAAGGCAUUAGAGUGGCAAGUUUGUCACCACGAAUUUUUGAUAUUAUAAUUUGAAAUUAGCCUGAGCUAUGGGUCUGAAUUGUACACGGAGCCAGUCUCAUUUUAUUUAGGAAUGGGUGUGAAUUGUUCCAUGGAGCCAGUCUCAUUUUAUUUGGGAAUUAGAAGGUUAAUAUUUGAAUUGUAGUUAGGCAUGAUCCUCCCGGUCUUGAAGAAUUGAAGAAUGGCAUUGCAAACAUCUUUCUCAAUAAUCUUCCAAUAGAUUUGGUAGAAAAUUCCACCGAACCCAUAUGGGCCUGGUGCACUAUUCAUGUUGAGAUUGAACAGUUCUUUGGAGAUUUCCUCAAUGGAGGGGAUUAUAGUGAGCAUGGUGUUCAUACUUAAUUAAUCAACUUAAGAAUGAAUAAUUUACAGCAAUUUUGACUAUCUCCUAGAGCUUUUGAUUUUCUCCAUUAUCACUAUUACAGAAA
rnacentral:lncRNA from 1 species